CUCCUCCCGCCGCAAGGCCAAGGAGAGGCCGGCGUCCGGAGAUGGCCGACGACCAUGCAGAAGGGCUCGUCCACUCCGACCUCGACGGCCAAGGAGGAGCUCGUCUGGUCAGAUGACACCCACCAAAUUAAAGGUCACUUUAUACUGCAUAUGGAGCUCAUGACUACAGCCAUCAAAUGCCUCAAUCUGCUCCUCAAGCGGAACCUUAUGGUGACUAUCCUUCCACACACCAAUCUGAGGGGCCUACCGAAGCUGAGAAGAAAGAGAUGGCAGCACGGUGGCUCUUGGCGACUUCUGGUGACCUUGACCAGCUUGGAGGCUUGAUGGCAGAGCUGCAGGUCUAGCUGGUCUGUCCCAAGUUUCACCUCGGUGAGCGCGACUCAUAAAGGUGGAAUUUUUUCCUGAGCAAUAGACCUCCCCUACAUUGCUCUGUCAAUUGUGGAUGCACACAAAUGUUUAUCUGCCAAGAAGAUGCAUGCCUACUUGAAGUUUGUAAUGAAUCCUAGAGUGAGAUUCAUGGAAAUAUCCACUUCUAACUAGAUGAGCAAUUUAUGGGAUGGAAAUCCAAAUGACUGAGGAGAGCCGUCAGGGCUCAGCACCGGCGUCGACGAUAGCAUCGGCGCUGCUGCAGCCCCAAGCGUUAGCCCGCUUUCGAUUUGCGAUGCUGGCUCACUUUGUAGCCCUGUUCCUAAUAUUUUGCUUUAUACGAUUUAUUUGCUUGUGUUAUAUGCUGGUGUAACUAGUUAAAUGUCAAUUUAUUGAUUGUUGUAUGCCAGCCAUGAGGCCACGUUAGGGACCAAUUGCUGAUCACAAGAAUACAUAUUAUGCAGCUCAACAUUUUAGAAGCAAGAUCAUUCUAAUGUCUCAGUCACUUUAUCCUGCAUAUGGAGCUAAUGACUACAGCCAUCAAUUGCCUCAAUCUGCUCUUCAAGCGGAACCUUAUGGUGACUAUCCUUCCACACACCAAUCUGAGGAGCCUACUGAAGCUGAGAAGAAAGGUGUGGUACCACGGUUGCUCUUGGUGGCUUCUGAUGAGCUUGGCAGGCUGCAGGGGCGCAUAAGCUUGCAGGGAUGACGGCUUGUAGGCAUGGUGGGAGACCUUCAUGUCUAGCUGCUCAGGCCCAAGUUUCACCAAGGCGAGCUCGACACAUAAAGAUCGAUCGGUUCAAGUUGUACUAAAUCCGAGUCAAUUAAAAGAAACCAGAGGGAGUACCAUUUUGACCUGAUACAGUGCACCCCAUGCCCAUGAUUAUUCAUUGCUGCUGCUUCACCACACACCCAAGAGGAGCAGGUUCGGGAGAAGGAAAGGGACCCAAAAUAGAAACAAGAAAGGGAAAAGAGAAGAGAUGGGGAUUCUGCGAAACUUCCUCGAGCUCGCCAUCAAUUCAUGUCUCGUGCUGCCAUGGGAAACCGGAAGGAAGCCGUUGAGCACCUUACCAAGGCGAUCCUAGUGAACCUCAACAACCAUGUAUGGUACAAAGUGGUCAUUCACAAUAGCAGCAAUGUAUGUGGAGACUGACAUUGAAAAUGUCGCCACUCUUUGUAUGUGGAGCUGUCCUCAUGAGGAGCUGGAUGCAGAGUGAAUGAACUCGAUCUCGACAUGUGGAAGAAGGCAGCAGUUGAUAGAGGAUAUGUACAAUGUCACCCAUGAUCACAGAUUCACAGAGGAACCAUCCAUGGUGGCAUGAUCAGGGAUGGUGUGACUGAAGCAGCCAAGGCCAGUUCUCUACUGCCGUCCGUGGGGAUCCCUUGUGACUUCCAUUUUUGUAAUUGCUUCAUUGCUUCAUAGAUACAAAGAGUUGUAACUUUGCCAUGUUUGUCUUUGUUGCUUAUUUUGUGUUACGACUCGUGAUCUGAGGUGGAUGGUGCGUGGGGGUUUGGAUGUCAGUGUUAGCUGCUGUGAUAUAUGUAUAUAUAAACUUUAUUUCACA